UACGUAGGUGACCAGCGUUGUCCGGAUUUACUGGGCGUAAAGAGCGCGCAGGCGGUCGUUCAAGUCGAGUGUGAAAGCCCCCGGCUCAACUGGGGAGGGUCACUCGAUACUGAUCGACUUGAAGGCAGGAGAGGGAAGCGGAAUUCCCGGUGUAGUGGUGAAAUGCGUAGAUAUCGGGAGGAACACCAGUGGCGAAGGCGGCUUCCUGGACCAGCACUGACACUGAGGCACGAAAGCGUGGGGAGCAAACAGG
rnacentral:rRNA from 1 species